GAAGGAUUGCGUUCUCUAGGGGUAGCCACACUGGUGGCUUGGGGCGGGUAAGGACCUCCAGACCCUGUGCUAGGACAGAUGCUUUAUAGUAAGCUUUAACGUCAGGGGCGCCUAGGCCUCCUUUGUUUGGUGGGAGCCAUGUAAGUCUGCGUGCCAUUCGUGGGGGUUUUUUCUUCCAGAUGUGGGAGUUAAUAAUGGAUUGGAAUUUCUUGAGGAGCGUGUCAGGUAGCGCAAUAGGGAGGGUGCGGAAUAGGUACAGUAUAUGAG